CCUACGGGUGGCAGCAGUGAGGAAUAUUGGUCAAUGGACGAGAGUCUGAACCAGCCAAGUAGCGUGAAGGAUGACUGCCCUAUGGGUUGUAAACUUCUUUUAUAUGGGAAUAAAACGUUCCACGUGUGGGAUUUUGUAUGUACCAUAUGAAUAAGGAUCGGCUAACUCCGUGCCAGCAGCCGCGGUAAUACGGAGGAUCCGAGCGUUAUCCGGAUUUAUUGGGUUUAAAGGGAGCGUAGGUGGAUUGUUAAGUCAGUUGUGAAAGUUUGCGGCUCAACCGUAAAAUUGCAGUUGAUACUGGCAGUCUUGAGUACAGUAGAGGUAGGCGGAAUUCGUGGUGUAGCGGUGAAAUGCUUAGAUAUCACCAAGAACUCCGAUUGCGAAGGCAGUUCACUAGACUGCAACUGACACUGAGGCUCGAAAGUGUGGGUAUCAAACAGGAUUAGAUACCCCAGUAGUC
rnacentral:rRNA from 1 species